rnacentral:tRNA from 1 species
UGGGUUGUGGCUCAGUGGUAGAGAUUCGCCUCACGUGUGCAAGAUCCUGGGUUCGAUCCUCAGCACCACAU